rnacentral:misc_RNA from 1 species
AAACUGCGAUAAGUAGUGUGAAUUGCAUUUAGUGAAUCAUCGAAUCUUUGAACGCACCUUGCACUCACUGGUAUUCCGGUGAGUACGCCUGUUUCAGUAUCAUUGAAAACACACAAUCAAAACAUUUUCCUUGGUUUGAUUGGCUUUGGGUCUAUCAAAAAGUUUGGCUUGUUUCUUACAAGCCAAGCGGCCUGAAAUAUAUUGUCUGGCUAAUUGCAUCGUUGAUGAUCGCUAUUAGACUUUGGCUUUUUUAAAUGAACUGGAGGUUGAUUAACCAGUUUUAGCUUUAGUCAAAUGGUCAUUGUAAAAAAAAUCUCGAUCUUGGCUAGGUGUUUAUAGCCGAAAAUUUUUUUUUGGCUAUAACCGAAACCAAUAUAAUCACAUUUAGUUAUCGAUCUGAAAUCAGGUGGGACUACCCGCUGAACUUAAGC